CAGCAACAGGAAAACGUCAGUAUGUGAACACAGCCUGGGGUCAGAGGUCAUUCACCUGAACUAUAUCCACUUCCUGGUCAUGCUAACAACAUGUUAACAACUUCAGCUAAUAAAGUCAAUAAUGGAUCAAAAUAUUUGGACACUUUAACUAGGAUGAAACAACUGAAGAGAAUAAAUAUUUAUUUUAACUGUAUUUUUUUCCUUUCUUAAGAAACUUUAAAUUUUCUGUUUAGGUUUUGUUAAUAAUGUCUUUUAGCCGUAUUUUAAACUUUAAAUAUCUUUUAACUCAAAGACAUGUUGAGCUGGACAACCAAUCAACUGAUUGACCGACUGACUGACCGACUGACCAAGUGACUGACUGACUGACCGACUGACCAAGUGACUGACCAACUUACUGACCGACUGACCAAGUGACUGACUGACCGACUGACCAAGUGACUGACCGACUGACCAACCGACCCACCCCAGGUGAAAUGUAUGUACACCCCGUCCAGGUUCUGACUCCAGAAAACACCCAGCUGAUCCAGACUGGCAUUAUUUAGAGAAGAUAGAGAAAAUGAAGAAAGUAAGUACACCCUGCUGUCUUCCCACCCUGACAGGUUUGCUGGAGGCUGAACCAGAACCAGUGAUCUAACUGGAUUAACUGGGAUCUUCUGACUAGUUGAGGAAAUCUCACCUGUGAGGUCAAAGUGUCUUUCAUCACGUUUCUUACGCAACCCCGCUGCAAGCCGUGGGACCGGAGGAGCCGUGGAGCGCUGCUGCCCCCUGCUGGAGCUGCCAUGAACGGCACCGUGUGAUCAGCUCAGUUUGAUUAUUUAUCAGGGACGAUGUUAAAAAAACAAGUGGCGGAGAUUUUCUACAGAUUUAGCUUCAGCUGGUUUCCAUCUGCAGGUGACUUACUGUAAAAUCAUCCAACAUGCAUCCAUAUAAUAAUAAUAAUAAUAAUAAUAAUAAUAAUAUAUUAUUAUCUCUCAUUUUUAUUCACUUAUUGUUUGUGCAGCUGGACUGUUCCUUCUUGCUGUUUCUGGUCACAAACUUUUCCAUUUAGCGCCGCGACGCUAACAGUAGCAGAAAAGCAGCCAGUCAGAAAGAUGAGCAUGACAAAUAACAUUUCAAUCAAUUAUUUUACCUUCUAUUUUAUAACAAUGAUUGAAAAGCAGAGUACAUUUUAUGAUUAAAAAAAUAUUACACCCUAUAUUUUUAUUUUUGCUUCUUCUUCUCAUCUCCAGUUGGAGGGAAAAUGUUCCAGCUGCUCGAAUCCACAGGCAGAAAAUCAAAUAAAUACUUUUUUUUAAGUCCCAAAAUGUUUCAGAUUAAAAGGAAACCUUAGAAUCAUGAUGGUUCUCUUCUGCAUGCAGAUAUGAAGGGAUGGUGGAGAGAAAAACAGAAUAAAUAAUCAUUUAUUAAUCCCAACAAAUUAAAUUGCAAUAAUUCAGAUUAUGUUAUUAAUCUCUGAACUGCUGAUUCCCUUCAGAACAUCAACGUGACUCAGAAAGUUCUGCAGAAGUUAAAGAAGAAAGUUCCGUUCUGGAUGGAGAACCACUUUCAUAAAACACCAUAAAGCAUCUCCAGUAGCAGUCAGUGUGGCAGCGAAUGUGAAGAGGCCUCUGACUGACAUGCUGACAGCUUAGCAUCCAGGCAGCAGACGAGUCACUGCUUUUUGGUCAGAGAGACGCUGGAGUUCGGAACGAUUCUUGGAAAACAUGGCUGAACUUCCAUCAGCCUCCUGAUCAGCUCCUCUCUGACCGGGGUCAAAGUUCACGGUUCAUCUGAGCUUUUGAGAUGCUUAUCAGCUGCUCCAACCUGUAAAAACACCUCGUUGCUAUGGUUACGCGACAUAACAACAUUGCAAAAGUUAAAAGGUAAAAGCAGAAAAUCUUCCAGCUGCUUAGUGUCCAGCAGAGCUGCUCCAACAUGCUGCCACCAGGAGGCGCUGAGAGGAGAAAUGCUCAAAAAGGUCUCAGGAAUGUAGAAUAACAUGAAGAAUGUUGACAGGGAAGAUUGAUAACGGAGUGAAAAUCACUGAUGAGUUAAAAUGCAAAACUCCGGAGGAUAGAAGGACCGGCAAGAGACGAAACCUUAAAAUAAAAAUUCAAUUAAACAAGA